rnacentral:tRNA from 4 species
GCCACCCUAGCUCAGUUGGUAGAGCAUUCGAUUCGUAAUCGAAAGGUCAUCGGUUCAAGUCCGAUGGGUGGCUCCA